CGGAAAAGCUGGAAGAGCUGCCUCUCACACCUACUGUCAUCGCACUGGGUAGCAUUUUCAGCAAGCAAUGCUUUGUGACAUGCGACCACGAGGUCCUCUUCUCGCAAGCGUUGAGCUUCACGGAAGCAACUUGCCUGAUGUUUUUGUGCUAUUAUGUGUUUAAUAUCACAUAUGCCGAGGAGGGUUCAACCACACUAGAGUUUCUCCAAAGGCUGCUAUUUCACAUACAACCUUCAACGGGCACGAAAGCACAAGGGAAGAAGUCUCGGACAAGUGUACAUAACAAGAUUAUGUCAUUAGCCCGGAAGCUGCAAGUGAAAUGUUGAAGCUGUAAUGAAGCUUCCGGAAUCCUUCUAGUCCUGCAGUUUUUUUCUCUUUUUUCUUCAUCUAUUUUUUGUAAUAAAUAUAACUUUUGUUCAGAC